rnacentral:rRNA from 1 species
CAAUAGCGUAUAUUAAUGUUGUUGCAGUUAAAAAGCUCGUAGUUGGAUUUCUGAUGAGAGCCCUGGUCACCUUAACGAGUGUACUGAUGUGGCGUCUUGUCGUUUCAUGGGGAUGCUUGCUGGUAUUAAGUUAUCGGCUUGUGGAUCCAUGUCGUUUACUGUGAAAAAAUUAGAGUGUUCAAAGCAGGCCAUCGCUGUGAAUACAUUAGCAUGGAAUAAUAAGAUAGGACUGUGGUGCUAUUUUGUUGGUUUGCGUACUACGGUAAUGAUUAAUAGGGAUAGUUGGGGGUAUUCAUAUUCAAUUGUCAGAGGUGAAAUUCUUGGAUUUAUGGAAGAUGAACUACUGCGAAAGCAUUUACCAAGGAUGUUUUCAUUAA